GCUUAGUUAGUUUAAAUCAAAACACUAGAGUGUGGAUCUAGAAAUUAAACCCAGUUUAACUAGGCA
rnacentral:tRNA from 1 species